rnacentral:rRNA from 1 species
GUAGGUGGCAAGCGUUGUCCGGAAUUAUUGGGCGUAAAGCGCGCGCAGGCGGUCCUUUAAGUCUGAUGUGAAAGCCCACGGCUCAACCGUGGAGGGUCAUUGGAAACUGGGGGACUUGAGUACAGAAGAGGAAAGCGGAAUUCCAAGUGUAGCGGUGAAAUGCGUAGAGAUUUGGAGGAACACCAGUGGCGAAGGCGGCUUUCUGGUCUGUAACUGACGCUGAAGCGCGAAAGCGUGGGGAGCAAACAGGGAUUAGAUACCCUGGUAGUCCACGCCGUAAACGAUGAGUGCUAAGUGUUAGGGGGUUUCCCGCCCCUUAGUGCUGCAGCUAACGCAUUAAGCACUCCGCCUGGGGAGUACGCCGCAAGGCUG